rnacentral:rRNA from 1 species
GACGAACGCUGGCGGCGUGCCUAAUACAUGCAAGUAGAACGCUGAAGGGGGAGCUUGCUUCUCUGGAUGAGUUGCGAACGGGUGAGUAACGCGUAGGUAACCUGCCUGGUAGCGGGGGAUAACUAUUGGAAACGAUAGCUAAUACCGCAUAAGAGUAGAUGUUGCAUGACAUUUGCUUAAAAGGUGCAAUUGCAUCACUACCAGAUGGACCUGCGUUGUAUUAGCUAGUUGGUGAGGUAACGGCUCACCAAGGCAACGAUACAUAGCCGACCUGAGAGGGUGAUCGGCCACACUGGGACUGAGACACGGCCCAGACUCCUACGGGAGGCAGCAGUAGGGAAUCUUCGGCAAUGGACGGAAGUCUGACCGAGCAACGCCGCGUGAGUGAAGAAGGUUUUCGGAUCGUAAAGCUCUGUUGUAAGAGAAGAACGAGUGUGAGAGUGGAAAGUUCACA